UCAGAGAAUGAGAAAGAAGAGGUCUCCGAGGAAAUUCUCCCCGGUUUCCAGUUCAUUUUCAGGAUUCUGCUCUGGGUCAACGAAACUCACAUCACUUAGAAACAAGCUGAUCUCUGCAUCCACAGCUCCCUCGUUUUGCAUCUACUAAACCCUUACCUGAGGUUUGAGAUGUUUCUUAAACAUUUCUCACAAUUUGCAAUGUUUAAAAUUCACUGUAGCAAGUAAGAGGAAAUGGUGCUUAUGGCCCCCAGGUGCUUAUGGUCCCCAGGCCACAUAAUUAGGAUGUAUGUUACUAAAAACUUGGUUUCAUCAAAAUUUAUUUUCUAAUAUAAUUAUUUUAAAAGUCUUGUUUAUUCCAGAGAACCUAGCUGGGUUAUUGGAGACACAAGGUCUCUCUUGUUGGAAGAAGAAACGUAUUGUUUUCACAAAUCCCAGUUCUGCCAGAGAUGUUUCUGAGGGUAAGCUACCAAGCAUUGAACUCCGUGUGGCCAGAACCUUUAAGUAUGUUUUUACUCGAACUCUUCUUUUUCAAGUCAAUCACUUUGCCAAAUUUUUAAUUUUCUUAAAUUGGCCCAGAACAAUUGAGGCAGGAAAAGAAGCCUUCAUAGAGACAGUAAAGUGGUUCUAAUAAAUUGAAAAGUAAGAGACUAAAACUUGUGUUUGACUGCCUUCCACCUAGUCGUUCAAAAAAUCAGAGUUACCAUGUUCUACCACCUGAGCCGCUGCCUCAUCAGUCUGAAACACCUACUAGGAAGAAGUAUUAAUGGAAUAAUUUCUAGUGAGACACUUCACAGCCACAGAGAUAAUUAAACGACAGCACUGAUGCCCUACCGCUUUGAGGGUUCACGUGUGUCCACCCUGUGUACAUGGAAGGUUUCCAGCCAGCCUCCCCUGAAGUCUGUCUUGAUUGCCUGCUAGCAAGUAGCUCACUGAGGAAAUAUUGGCCUGGUUUGCAAUCACAGGGAUUUAAAUGGAUUCUGGGAGCUUUCUGCAAGAGAACCGUUCUCCCGUGUUUGAAGAAAGUAGUAGGUGUACUCCAGAGAAACAGGUUUCGAUUACAUCGUACAUUGCUAUGCUAAACAAGCAAGCUUUAAAGGGACCCUGCAGAUGCCACAAAAAUGUUUCCCAAGUGCAAGAGUGUAAAAACAUAAGUGUCUUUUUUGUAAAUGUUGCCCUAAAAAAGCCUGCCAUAGGAAUGAAAACCUAAGGAACGAAAGCCAGAUUGGGAUCAGAUCCACAAGAUACAUAAUUAGUGAGCAUAUCACCUCCUUCGAUGGUUACUCAUCUGUUCUGACCACACCGACGUGGGCCAGAGUUUGCUUUCAGUCACACCCAUGAAAGUCUGGUCGAGUCUGAGUUUAAUGCAUAAUUUGACUUUGUGAAUAUUUGCAGCUUGCAUAGAAAAAAGAGCUAGUCCAGUGAGGCAGUUGAAGUCAGUGUCAUAAGGAAAUUUUUUCCCUUUUGCUGUGAGCAUCAUUUAAGAAAAAGGCAAAAGGAUAUCAGUGUCCUGGGCAGUUUUGAUGAAGUCUAAAAAGUGCACUCUUUAUCAGCACUUGAAUUCAAUAUGGUGGGGCACCAUUCAGUUACACUACAGACCAGCAUGUUUCUAUAUCGUGGUAACAUUAAGAUUCUAAGUUCCGGCCGGGCGCGGUGGCUCAAGCCUGUAAUCCCAGCACUUUGGGAGGCCGAGACGGGAGGAUCACGAGGUCAGGAGAUCGAGACCAUCCUGGCUAACACAAUGAAACCCCGUCUCUACUAAAAAUACAAAAAAAUUAGCCGGGCGAGGUGGCGGGCGCCUGUGGUCCCAGCUACUCGGGAGGCUGAGGCAGGAGAAUGGCGUAAACCCGGGAGGCGGAGCUUGCAGUGAGCCGAGAUAGCGCCACUGCACUCCAGCCUGGGCGACAGAGCGAGACUCCGUCUCAAAAAAAAAAAAAAAAAAAAAAAAGAAAAUAGAAAGGUACGUGAUGAAAUAAAUUUAUACUCUCUAUCCUUUCAGCUGUCAUAUGAGGCCGUGACCAGUUUUCUUGCCCCAAGUGGCAUGAAAAGGAGGGUACCCAGGAAGAGGAGAUGAAGGCCACGUUUUAAACAUAUUAAGAAAGAAGUGCUAGAGCCUCAGUUUUCACACAAAGGCAAAGGCUUUACUUUUUCAAUUGAUGCUCUGUAGUUUCUUUCUCUUUUUCUUUUUUUGAGACGGAGUCUCACUCUGUUGCCCAGCUGGAGUGCAGUGGCGGAUCUCACGGCAAGCUCCGCCUUCCGGGUUCACACCAUUCUUCUGCCUCAGCCUCCCGAGUAGCUGGGACCACAGGCGCCCGCCACCUCGCCCGGCUAACUUUUUGUAUUUUUAGCAGAGAUGGGGUUUCACUGUGUUAGCCAGGAUGGUCUCGAUCUCCUGACCCCGUGAUCCGCCUGCCUCCACCUCCCAAAGUGCUGGGAUUACAGGUGUGAGCCACUGCGCCCUGCCAAUAGCUCUGUAGUUUCUGUUUAGUUAUCCCUGAGUCAGAGUUGCAGAAAGACGUGGUGAGGUCACCUGCUCUCAGAUGGAUGACUUGGGAGCUGGCAGUGACUGCGUGGUACAAGUCUGUUCCGUGAGAAACACUGAAGGAAAAAAGGAAUAUGUGUCUCUGGAUGGUGAUUUUGUAAUGCAGAGGAGCGGCGAAGGAAGGCUUGAGCCUGAUGGGGGAGAAAUCACAUCACAGGAGCAAGAUGGGGAAAAAGGAAUUGGUCCAAGAUCUCACUCUCAGCUGCCAAAUGGCCAUGGCAACAGGACCUUUUGCUUAGUGUGACAGGAGCUGAACCAAGGUCCCUGGCACUCAGUGAGGGGUUGCCAUAGGGAGAAUUGGAGGGUUCUGGGCAUUUUAAGCACUGGGCUUGGAAAACACAGAGGAGAGCCAGCGCCCAUUGGCUGUGGGCCUGGAACCAAGGUAAGAAAAAUAAAAAGACAAAAUGAGCCUGGGCUGUGUGUGUCUGUGUUUGUCUUUGGGAUGUGCAAUUCUGUGGUAGAAUAAUAAUGAUCAUGAUGGGCACUCAGUAUGUCUGAGGAAACAAGAUUUUUUAAAGUGUACAGUUCAGAUUCUAAGAUUUUUACAUUUAUUAACUCAUUUAAUUCUUACAACCCUACAAGGGAGGUAGUAUUAUACUAUUCCUCAUUGGUUAAAUGAGGAAACUGAAGCAAAGAGAGUGUAAAUCAUGCACAACUAGUAAGUGGAGCCCAGGCUGUCUGACUCACUGAUUCCUGCCUCUUUUUGACGUUGCCAUAUGUGGCCAGCUGAGCACUGGAACCACAGAAAACCUAGUUCCUAAUCCCUGAAUCUGUGAAUAUUACUUUACAUGGCAGAAGGUAUUUUGCAGAUGUGAUCAAAUUAAAGGUAUUGAGAUGCGGAGAUUAUUCUGGAUUAUCCUGCAGUGUAAAUGCAUUUACAGAGGGAGGCAGAGGGAGAUUUGACUACCGAAGGGGAAGAGGGUGGUGGGAUGUGAGGAUGGAAUCAUGAACCAAGGAAUGCAGGUGGCUUCUAGAAGGCAGAAAAGCCAAGGAAACACAUCUUCCCUAGAGCCUCGAGGAGGAGCUAGGCUGGCCAACAUCCUGAUUUUAGCCCUGUCUGAUCCAUGUUGGACUCUGGCCUCCAGAACUGUAAGAUAAUAAAUUGAUGUUGUUUUAAGUCACUCAAUUUGUAGUAAUUUUUUUAUAGCAGCCAUGGGAAACUCAUACACUGUAAUUCUCAAAUCUUUUCACACAAACACAUGGAGACGAUGUUCCCAGGGUGAACUUACGUUCAUAGGCACACCCACAUGUUGACACCCUUGACUCCCACCCAAUUACAUAGUGUGUAGUGUUUGUGGAUAAGCGUGUGUGUGUGUGUGUGUGUAUUUGGUGAGGGCAAGGC
rnacentral:lncRNA from 1 species